rnacentral:rRNA from 1 species
CCUACGGGUGGCUGCAGUGAGGAAUAUUGGUCAAUGGACGCAAGUCUGAACCAGCCAUGCCGCGUGCAGGAUGACGGCUCUAUGAGUUGUAAACUGCUUUUGUACGAGGGUAAACUCAGACACGUGUAUCUGUUUGAAAGUAUCGUACGAAUAAGGAUCGGCUAAUUCCGUGCCAGCAGCCGCGGUAAUACGGAGGAUUCAAGCGUUAUCCGGAUUUAUUGGGUUUAAAGGGUGCGUAGGCGGGCGGAUAAGUUAGAGGUGAAAUCCCGAGGCUCAACCUCGGAAUUGCCUCGGAUACUGGUCGGCUAGAGAGCAGUUGCGGUAGGCGGAAUGUGUGGUGUAGCGGUGAAAUGCUUAGAGAUCAUACAGAACACCGAUUGCGAAGGCAGCUUACCAAGCUACUUCUGACGUUGAGGCACGAAGGCGUGGGGAUCGAACAGGAUUAGAUACCCGAGUAGUC